UACGGAGGGGGCAAGCGUUGUUCGGAAUUACUGGGCGUAAAGGGCGCGUAGGCGGCCUGCUAAGUCGAACGUGAAAUCCCCGGGCUCAACCCGGGAACUGCGUCCGAUACUGGCAGGCUUGAAUCCGGGAGAGGGAUGUGGAAUUCCAGGUGUAGCGGUGAAAUGCGUAGAUAUCUGGAGGAACACCGGUGGCGAAGGCGGCAUCCUGGACCGGCAUUGACGCUGAGGCGCGAAAGCCAGGGGAGCAAACGGG
rnacentral:rRNA from 1 species